rnacentral:pre_miRNA from 1 species
UGAAAGACAUGGGUAGUGAGAUGUCUUGUAUUCCCAUCUCACUACCUUGUCUUUG